rnacentral:rRNA from 1 species
AGAGUUUGAUCAUGGCUCAGAUUGAACGCUGGCGGCAGGCCUAACACAUGCAAGUCGAACGGUAACAGGAAGAAGCUUGCUUCUUUGCUGACGAGUGGCGGACGGGUGAGUAAUGUCUGGGAAACUGCCUGAUGGAGGGGGAUAACUACUGGAAACGGUAGCUAAUACCGCAUAACGUCGCAAGACCAAAGAGGGGGACCUUCGGGCCUCUUGCCAUCGGGUGUGCCCAGAUGGGAUUAGCUAGUAGGUGGGGUAACGGCUCACCUAGGCGACGAUCCCUAGCUGGUCUGAGAGGAUGACCAGCCACACUGGAACUGAGACACGGUCCAGACUCCUACGGGAGGCAGCAGUGGGGAAUAUUGCACAAUGGGCGCAAGCCUGAUGCAGCCAUGCCGCGUGUAUGAAGAAGGCCUUCGGGUUGUAAAGUACUUUCAGCGGGGAGGAAGGGAGUAAAGUUAAUACCUUUGCUCAUUGACGUUACCCGCAGAAGAAGCACCGGCUAACUCCGUGCCAGCAGCCGCGGUAAUACGGAGGGUGCAAGCGUUAAUCGGAAUUACUGGGCGUAAAGCGCACGCAGGCGGUUUGUUAAGUCAGAUGUGAAAUCCCCGGGCUCAACCUGGGAACUGCAUCUGAUACUGGCAAGCUUGAGUCUCGUAGAGGGGGGUAGAAUUCCAGGUGUAGCGGUGAAAUGCGUAGAGAUCUGGAGGAAUACCGGUGGCGAAGGCGGCCCCCUGGACGAAGACUGACGCUCAGGUGCGAAAGCGUGGGGAGCAAACAGGAUUAGGUACCCUGGUAGUCCACGCCGUAAACGAUGUCGACUUGGAGGUUGUGCCCUUGAGGCGUGGCUUCCGGAGCUAACGCGUUAAGUCGACCGCCUGGGGAGUACGGCCGCAAGGUUAAAACUCAGAUGAAUUGACGGUGGCCCGCACAAGCGGUGGAGCAUGUGGUUUAAUUCGAUGCAACGCGAAGAACCUUACCUGGUCUUGACAUCCACGGAAGUUUUCAGAGAUGAGAAUGUGCCUUCGGGAACCGUGAGACAGGUGCUGCAUGGCUGUCGUCAGCUCGUGUUGUGAAAUGUUGGGUUAAGUCCCGCAACGAGCGCAACCCUUAUCCUUUGUUGCCAGCGGUCCGGCCGGGAACUCAAAGGAGACUGCCAGUGAUAAACUGGAGGAAGGUGGGGAUGACGUCAAGUCAUCAUGGCCCUUACGACCAGGGCUACACACGUGCUACAAUGGCGCAUACAAAGAGAAGCGACCUCGCGAGAGCAAGCGGACCUCAUAAAGUGCGUCGUAGUCCGGAUUGGAGUCUGCAACUCGACUCCAUGAAGUCGGAAUCGCUAGUAAUCGUGGAUCAGAAUGCCACGGUGAAUACGUUCCCGGGCCUUGUACACACCGCCCGUCACACCAUGGGAGUGGGUUGCAAAAGAAGUAGGUAGCUUAACCUUCGGGAGGGCGCUUACCACUUUGUGAUUCAUGACUGGGGUGAAGUCGUAACAAGGUAACCGUAGGGGAACCUGCGGUUG